AGGUGGAGGCGGAGGCGGAGGCAGCGGCGGUGGAAUGGGUAGUUAUAAUGUCCCAAUUGGUGGUGGAGGUAGCGGAGGGGGUGGAGGCGGUGGAGGCUGGGUUGGAAUUACUCCACCCUUCGGGGGUUGUUAUUGUCCUCCAGAAUGUAUCCCUGGGAGUUGGAAAGCAAGAGCACUGCAUCAUAAAAAUUCAUUAAAGAUGGACCCACGAGUUAGAGCUCCAUGAUUAAGCCUAGUGAAAAACAUAAUUGAGCAUCAUAGUUUGUUGUUUCUGAUGGAGCUUGAAAAGCAGUUUAAGAAUAAGCUCAAUUUACUUUAAAUGAUUCUCAUUUAAAAUAAUUUGUCUUUUACAGAGAGAAGGAAAUAAAAGAAGAAAUA
rnacentral:misc_RNA from 1 species